rnacentral:rRNA from 1 species
UACAGAGGCCACGAGCGUUAGGCGGAAUCACUGGGCUUAAAGCGUGUGUAGGUGGAUGGCUAAGUACCUUGUGAAAUCCCACGGCUCAACCGUGGAACUGCUCGGUAUACUGGUCGUCUUGAGGCACUCAGGGGCGAGCGGAACAGAUGGUGGAGCGGUGAAAUGCGUAGAUAUCAUCUGGAACGCCAAUGGUGAAGACAGCUCGC